CCUACGGGAGGCAGCAGUGAGGAAUAUUGGUCAAUGGACGAGAGUCUGAACCAGCCAAGUAGCGUGAAGGAUGACUGCCCUAUGGGUUGUAAACUUCUUUUAUAAAGGAAUAAAAUGAGGCACGUGUGCCUUUUUGCAUGUACUUUAUGAAUAAGGAUCGGCUAACUCCGUGCCAGCAGCCGCGGUAAUACGGAGGAUCCGAGCGUUAUCCGGAUUUAUUGGGUUUAAAGGGAGCGUAGAUGGGUUGUUCAGUCUGUUGUGAAAGUUUGCGGCUCAACCGUAAAAUUGCAAUUGAUACUGGCAGUCUUGAGUACAGUUGAGGUAGGCGGAAUUCGUGGUGUAGCGGUGAAAUGCUUAGAUAUCACGAAGAACCCCGAUUGCGAAGGCAGCUUACGAAACUGUGACUGACAUUGAUGCUCGAAAGUGUGGGUAUCAAACAGGAUUAGAUACCCCUGUAGUC
rnacentral:rRNA from 1 species